GUCCACGCCGUAACUAUGGAGGCUAGCCGUUGGACAGCUUGCUGUUCAGUGGCGCAGCUAACGCAUUAAGCCUCCCGCCUGGGAGUACGGUCGCAAGAUUAAACUCAAAGGAAUUGACGGGGCCCGCACAAGCGGUGGAGCAUGUGGUUCAAUUCGAAGCAACGCGAAGAACCUUACCAGCCCUUGACAUGCCCCGUAUGGGAUCCAGAGAAGGAUCUCUUCAGUUCGGCUGGCGGGGACACAGGUGCUGCAUGGCUGUCGU
rnacentral:rRNA from 1 species